CGGAGGGGUACCACCAGACGUGGAGUCUGCGGCUCAAUUUGACUCAACGCGAACCCUUACCAGGCCCAGACGUACGGAGGAUCGACGGUUGAGAGGACCUUCGUGAUCGUACGAGUGGUGGUGCAUGGCCGUUCACAGCCCGUGGCUUGAGCCGUCUGCUUGACUGCGACAACGAGCGAGACCCUAACCUGGAUGGGACCGCCAAUGGUGAAUUGGAGGAAGGUGGGCGAUAACAGGUCUGUGAUGCCCUUAGACGCCCUGGGCUGCACGCGUACUACACUGUGGGGAUGAAACCACGUCGAGUUGUGAAGCUUGAUGAGAUCAAACCCCCACGUGGUUGGGAUCGUGGACUGGAACGUCCUCGUGAACCUGGAAUGUCUAGUAGGCGUAGGUCAUCAAUCUACGCGGAUACGUCCCUGCCCCUUGUACACACCGCCCGUCGCUCCUACCGACUGGGUCUUCUGGCGAGCUCCUGGGAGGGAUGAACCGAACAGGGACGAACCGCGAGGCUUGGAGGAAGGAGAAGUCGUAACAAGGUAUCCGUAGGUGAACCUGCGGAUGGAUCCAUC
rnacentral:rRNA from 1 species